GACGUAGGGCGCGAGCGUUGUCCGGAUUUAUUGGGCGUAAAGAGCUCGUAGGCGCUUGUCGCGUCGUUCGUGAAAACUCACAGCUCAACUGUGAGCUUGCGGUCGAUACGGGCAGGCUGGAGUUCGGUAGGGGAGACUGGAAUUCCUGGUGUAGCGGUUGAAAUGCGCAGAUAUCAGGAAGAACACCCGUGGCUAAGGCGGCUCUCUAGUACGGUACUGACGCUGAGACGCGAAAGCGU
rnacentral:rRNA from 1 species